UACGGGGGGAGCAAGCGUUGUUCGGAUUUACUGGGCGUAAAGGGCGCGUAGGCGGCCACCGCAAGUCAGUUGUGAAAUCUCUGGGCUUAACCCAGAACGGUCAGCCGAUACUGCGGGGCUAGAGUGCAGAAGGGGCAACUGGAAUUCUCGGUGUAGCGGUGAAAUGCGUAGAUAUCGAGAGGAACACCUGCGGCGAAGGCGGGUUGCUGGGCUGACACUGACGCUGAGGCGCGAAAGCUAGGGGAGCGAACGGG
rnacentral:rRNA from 1 species